UGAUCAAAGAUUAUCGCAGAACAAAAGACAUUUUUUUUUAAAUCUAAACUGGAAGAGGAUGAUGUUUUCAGUUGAUUACUGGAAUGUUCCGUUCAGUUACAGAGAUUUUCCAUUUGCCCACACAGUGAAAGAAAAACAUCCCCAACUGUUCAUCAUUCCCCUCAUUGUCAUACCUGAAAUCAACCAUCUUUAUCUAGAGACAGCAAGCCAAUGAACUCCAGACCAUCUUUAUAAUCUCUUAAGAACUUCAUCUACAGCAGGCACGUCAACGGCAAGAGCCUGUUUUUAUGCAAUAUUUUCACCACGGGUCAGAAAUUGGACCUCCUGAGCAGUGCCUCAUUCUGGGGAGGGAAAAAAACAGGAAAAACCCACAAGUAAAAGGCCACUGUACAGUGAAAUGUGAACUGGAGACUUUGACAGAGAAAAGAUGAGCUGCUGAUGUGUCUCCCUCUGGCAGGUGGUGGAGGAUCAGGUCUUGUGAUGUUCCUGACCUAAUAUGGCCAGGUCUGGACUAUCAGCUGAGAAUCAGGUGCUUGCUAAAUAUUCAGGAGGAUGAAGACGCCCUGCUGGGCUGAGGCAUGCAUCAACAGGCUUGGCUCAGGGUGUCUUGUCUCUGUCUUACAGUGAGGAAAUAUAACUAAGUACUAUAAUGUAUUACUAUAUUACUAUACUAUACAUAAGUACAAGUACUAAACUUAAGCACAUUUUUUAUGUAUUUCAAUUUUAGGCUACUUCAUACUCCACCAUAUAACAGAAGGAAAUAUUAUACUUUCCAUGUGAAACACAUCAUGAUUUUUUUUUAAUAUGUUGCUUAAGAUUAAAACACCCAUCUGUUAUAAAAAUUAGGUUCAUACUGUGUUUCAGAUGUCUUGACUCAUAUGAUGUGUACAUAUGUUCCUACUCCUCACAUGUUCUGUUUUCCCUUCUCUAAUAAGAUUUUGUUGCUAAGGCUGGCAGGGUAAGGUAAAGUCCAGGUUAAUAUAUAAAUAGAAGAAAUCCAGAACAGAAUAAGGGCCAGGGACAGGUCAGAGAGGUGACAUUUAAAUUGGGGAAAUGCUAACUAUUAAAGGACAUUAAGAAGACUUAUGAUGUUAUUUGUAUCUAUGGGGAGGGGUCCGAGACAGCCCAUUAGAGAGUUUAUAAGAACCAACUGUUAGAGCUCCACGGCGAGCCUUUUUCUCUGUAACCCCUUUUGUGUGUUGCACUGUGAAACGCUCCUUCUUGUACAAGAAUAAACUCUUCAACUUCGAAUCCAGUCCUUCUUAUUAAAGGGUCAUUUGAAAAUUUUUAUAUUAAAUUGUUAAAAUAAGCUUGACAACAUUAAAUGCGUAAUAUGCAAAUGCAUCAUUACAACUACUGCAUGAUCAGUAUAACA